CAAUAGCGUAUAUUAAAGUUGUUGCAGUUAGAACGCUCGUAGUCGGAUUUCGGGGCGGGCCGACCGGUCUGCCGAUGGGUAUGCACUGGUCGGCGCGUCCUUCCUUCCGGAGACCGUCCCUACUCUUAACUGAGCGGGGGCGGGAGACGGGACUUUUACUUUGAAAAAAUCAGAGUGUUUCAAGCAGGCAGCUCGCUCUUGCAUGGAUUAGCAUGGGAUAAUGAAAUAGGACUUUGGUGCUAUUUUGUUGGUUUCGAACACCGAAGUAAUGAUGAGAAGGGACAGUCAGGGGCACUCGUAUUCCGCCGAGAGAGGUGAAAUUCUCAGACCAGCGGAAGACGAACCACUGCGAAAGCAUUUGCCAGGGAUGUUUUCACCGA
rnacentral:rRNA from 1 species